CAAAGAGUCGAGUUGUUUGGGAAUGCAGCUCAAAGUGGGUGGUAAACUCCAUCUAAAGCUAAAUACUGGUGAGAGACCGAUAGCGAACAAGUACUGUGAAGGAAAGGUGAAAAGAACUUUGAAAAGAGAGUGAAAUAGUAUGUGAAAUUGUUGAUAGGGAAGGAAAUGAGUGGAGAGUGGCCGAGGUUUCAGCCGCCCCUCGUGGGCGGUGUACUGCCGACGCCGAGUCAUCGAUAGCGAGACGAGGGUUACAAAUGGGAGCGCCUUCGGGCGUUCUCCCCUAACCCUCCACACUGCCACCGACGACAUAAUCCACCCAUUUCACCCGUCUUGAAACACGGACCAAGGAGUCUAAUGGAUAUGUGAGUGUUAGGGUGGCAAACCCCAGCGCGCAAUGAAAGUGAAUGGAUUCGUUCAGAAUCGACCGAACUUGAUUAUUAUGACAGUUUUGAGUAAACACAUCCAUUGGGACCCGAAAGAUGGUGAACUAUGCCUGGAUAGGGUGAAGUCAGAGGAAACUCUGAUGGAGGCUCGUAGCGGUUCUGACGUGCAAAUCGAUCGUAGGAUCUGGGUAUAGGGGCGAAAGACUAAUCGAAC
rnacentral:rRNA from 1 species